rnacentral:rRNA from 1 species
GACGAACGCUGGCGGCGUGCCUAACACAUGCAAGUCGAGCGGAGAAUACAGCAAUGUAUUCUUAGCGGCGGACGGGAGAGUAACGCGUGGGUAACCUGCCUUUUACAGGGGGAUAACAGGGAAACUUGUGCUAAUACCGUAUAACAUAGCGAAAUGGCAUCAUUUUGCUAUCAAAGGAGUAAUCCGGUAAAAGAUGGACCCGCGUCCGAUUAGCUAGUUGGUAAGGUAAAAGCUUACCAAGGCGACGAUCGGUAGCCGAACUGAGAGGUUGAUCGGCCACAUUGGGACUGAGACACGGCCCAGACUCCUACGGGAGGCAGCAGUGGGGAAUAUUGCGCAAUGGGGGAAACCCUGACGCAGCAACGCCGCGUGAAGGAUGAAGGUUUUCGGAUUGUAAACUUCUUUGAUUGGGGAAGAUAAUGACGGUACCCAAAAAACAAGCCACGGCUAACUACGUGCCAGCCGCCGCCGUAA